UACGGAGGGUGCAAGCGUUAUCCGGAUUCACUGGGUUUAAAGGGUGCGUAGGCGGGCAGGUAAGUCAGUGGUGAAAUCUCCGAGCUUAACUCGGAACUGCCGUUGAUACUACUUGUCUUGAAUGAUUGUGGAGGUAAGCGGAAUAUGUCAUGUAGCGGUGAAAUGCUUAGAUAUGACAUAGAACACCAAUUGCGAAGGCAGCUUACUACACAAUGAUUGACGCUGAGGCACGAAAGCGUGGGGAUCAAACAGG
rnacentral:rRNA from 1 species